rnacentral:rRNA from 1 species
GAAACUGGCAGACUAGAGUACUGUAGAGGGGGGUAGAAUUUCAGGUGUAGCGGUGAAAUGCGUAGAGAUCUGAAGGGAUACCGGUGGCGAAGGCGGCCCCUUGGACAGAUACUGACACUCAGAUGCGAAAGCGUGGGGAGCAAA